GGGUCUCGAGACAGAUGCUAAAGAGCUUGUUGAUUGUUAUAGAAAAAAGGAAAAUCUAAAAACUGAAGAAGAAAUUUCUGAAGUUUUGGGACCUCUACCAAUUGAAUGAUGUGUUACUCAGGAAGCAUUUCCUCUGCUGGUAUACAUGUAAAACAAAUGACUGAUCCCCUGACUCAUGUAAAUUUUCAUUUAGUGGUGUAUGAAAGACGUUUCCAAAUUUCUUGAUUUUCCACCAUUUCAAUUAACACCCCCCCCCCCCCCCCCCCACCCACCACUAUUUGACCCCCCCCCCCCCCCCCACAAUUUAGUGAUGAUAACUAAUAUGUGUUCCUCUAGUGGUCACAUCAGUUAAAUUUAUUAAUGAAUUACUUCUGAAAAAUUGAACUAUGGGAGAAAAAAUAUGGCAAUUAAUGUUGCUGCUUAUAUUUUGUUUCUUUCAUGGAUCUAAAUAUUUGAAUUGCUUAUCACAUUAUGUUCUUUUCUUUUCCAUUUGAAAAGAUUAUGAAAUGGAACAACUGAAAUCCAUUGUAUUUGGUGGAUUUACUAUCAGUUCAUGAUUGGCAGUAAUUGAAAUUGGCUGUAUUGGUCUGCGUUGGUACAAUGCCUGGAAGGAAUCGUGGGUCGUUAAAGAAGAGAAAAGAGGCGAAUCUAGUCGUAGCUCAACCCUCCUUAACAAUGCGAUGAACGGCCCAGAGGAAGAAAUCUUACGCAUGUUCGAUUCUAGAGUUUGGAUCAGUGACAAAGAAGAGCUCCAAAUAUGGGUGAAUGUGAGCGUCCGAGUGGGAAAAUAACCUGUAGAAGUCACAAUGCAAAACGGGAAACGUCUCAAUGUGUUGCAUGUGUUGUAUUCCAGUAUUUGUCUGUUGAAUGUGUUGUAUUCCAUUAGCUAUUGGAUUUUGAGACUCCCAGGUUCACUUUUGAUUAGCCUAUGGGAGCACUUGCAGUUGUAACAAAAUUAUUCCAUUUCUAAAUGAAUCUGUAACACACAUAUUUAUGUCAUAUUUGAUAAAAUAGAUUAUACACUCC
rnacentral:lncRNA from 1 species